GACGAACGCUGGCGGCGCGCUUAACACAUGCAAGUCGAACGGAAAGGCCUGCUUUCCCUUGUGGAUUGCGGGUACUCGAGUGGCGAACGGGUGAGUAACACGUGAGUGAUCUGCCCCCAACUUGGGUAUAAGCCUGGGAAACUGGGUCUAAUUCCCGAUAGGACUGCAGGGUGGUGCCUGUGGUGGAAAACGAUUUUCUAGUGGUUGGGGAUGAGCUCGCGGCCUAUCAGCUUGUUGGUGGGGUAAUGGCCUACCAAGGCGGCGACGGGUAGCCGGCCUGGGAGGGUGGACGGCCACAUUGGGACUGAGAUACGGCCCAGACUCCUACGGGAGGCAGCAGGGGGGAAUAUUGCACAAUGGGCGGAAGCCUGAUGCAGCGACGCCGCGUGGGGGAUGACGGCCUUCGGGUUGUAAACUCCUUUCGACCGCGAGGAAGCCACCUGGUUGGAAGGGUGGUGACGGUAGUGGUAGAAGAAGCACCGGCUAACUACGUG
rnacentral:rRNA from 1 species